UCCUUCCUCCCCUGGCGCAUGGAACUAUCUCCUGAGUGCUACAAGUUGUAGCGGGCACCGCUGAGUGUGUUUUCCUUCGGGGCACUUUUUAUCUAGCAGCUGACUUUAGUUUCUUCUAAACUAAGCCACUUCGCCCCUUUACACUGUCCUGAGUAAGGAACAAACUGCCAAGCAUCAACGGAGCCUUGAUGAGCCCGCGCCGCGGAGCAGCUUAGCAGUCUCCUGGGACCCAGCUCCGGAGGAGCCACAAGCAUGCACCCUGGAUUGUGGCUGUUCCUGGUUUCUUUAUGCCUGACCAAAGAACUGGCAGAAGCGGGACAGAAGAAAUCCUAUGGAGAGCCAUGUGGGGGCCAAGAUUGCAGUGGAAGCUGUACAUGCUCUCCUGAGAAGGGAACAAGAG